rnacentral:lncRNA from 1 species
GUUGUAAAACAUUCCUCCAUUCGAAUUAUGUUGGCUUUGGUAGCACAAUUGGAUUUGGAACUAGUUCAGAUGGAUGUAAAAACUGCUUUUUUACAUGGAAACUUGGAGGAGGAAAUCUACAUGACUUAGCCAGAAGGAUUCAAAGUUGCUGGAAAAGGAAAUAUGGUGUGCAAACUUGAAAAAUCAUUGUGUGGAUUGACUUCUAGACAAUGGUACAAACGAUUUGACAAGUUUAUCUUGCAACAAGGGUACAAGAGAAGAAAAUACGAUCAUUGUGUGUAUUUGCGCAGGCUUAAAGAUGGUUCCUUUAUAUAUCUUCUCCUAUAUGUUGAUGAUAUGUUGAUAGCUUCCAAGAAUUCAGAAGAAAUUAAUAAGUUGAAGAUUCAAAUGAAGAAGGAGUUCGAGAUGAAGGAUCUGGGUGAGGCAAAGAAAAUUCUUGGCAUGGAGAUAAUAAGAGAUAGGUGUUCAAAGAAACUUUGUUUAUCUCAGAAAGAAUAUUUGAAAAGAGCACUACAACGUUUUGGCAUAGAUGACAAGACUAAGCCAGUUAGUACUCCACUUGCUCCCAAUUUUAAGCUAAGUACUACUAUGUCACCAAAUGAUGAGGCUGAACGAGAGUAUAUGUCAAAGGUACCAUACACAAAUGCUGUUGGUAGCUUGAUGUAUGCAAUGGUCUGUACAAGACCUGACAUUUCACAAGCUGUUGGAGUUAUUAGCAGAUAUAUGCGUAAUUCAAGGAAGGAGCAUUGGCAAGUGCGUACAAGACCUGACAUUUCACAAGCCGUUGGAGUUAUUAGCAGAUAUAUGCAUAAUCCAGGAAAGGAGCAUUGACAAGCUUUGAAGUGGAUUCUACGGUAUAUUCAAUAAUACUGUAAAUGUCGGGUUAGUUUUUGAGCAGGAAGACAAUCAGUCUGUAGUUGGAUAUUGUGACUCAGAUUUUUCGGGUGAUAUGGACAAAUAAAGAUCAACUACUGGUUAUGUGUUUACUUUUGCAAGGGCACCGGUUAGUUGGAAGUCUACUUUACAGUCAACAGUUGCUUUAUCUACAACAGAGGCAGAGUACAUGGUUAUUACAGAGGCUGUGAAGGAAGCAAUUUGACUUCAGGGAUUGCUAAAGGAGCUUGGUGUUAAACAAAAAGGUAUCACAAUUUUUUGUGAUAGUCAAAGUGCUAUUCAAUUACCGAAGAACCAAAUUUAUCAUGCAAGGACGAAGCACAUUGAUGUUCAAUAUCAUUUCGUACGAGAAAUCAUCGAAGAAGGUGGAGUCACGGUGAAGAAAAUUCAUACUACAGAGAAUCCUGCUGAUAUGCUAACAAAAGUGGUGACUGUGGUCAAGUUUCAACAUUGUUUGGAUUUGAUCAACAUUGUUGAACACCGAAGAUUGAAGAUGAAGACACAACCAAAAUUUGUUACAGAGAGAAAAUUGAAGAUAUGGAAUUUUGCCAAGGUGGAGAUUUGUUGAAAAUGGCAAACUCCCACAUCAGUGGGAGACUUAUUUUGGGGAAGUUUCUCCCUAUAAAAGAAGGUCUAAUGUUUAAGAUUUAAACACACCUCUCAUUUGCCUUCUCAUCUGUUUAAGACAUUUGUAUCUUCUCUCUUUAGUAUUAUUUUACUUGUAUUUUUGGAGUAGAAUAAAAUAUUGGUUUUGUCCGAGGAGUAGGCAAAAUUGGCCGAACCUGUAAAUUCUGGUGUUUCUUUUAUUGUUGCUUUAUUGUCUUAUUU